ensembl:lncRNA
GCGUGGUGUUACAGUGAACCCGUAUAGACGAAAAUUGCAUUUACCAUUUAUUGCUUGACUAAUAAUAAAAACAUAGAAGAUUCUCGGUAACUCCGUGUCACCUUCUGUCCUGAUGCCAGAUUCGAUUGACGCAACGCUAACAAUUGGUGAAAAAUUGUCUGGCCGAUUGGCCAUUGCUUGUCGUCGGAUGGUGUGCCUCACAAAUCCUGACCGGUCAACUAAAAAACUUUGGAAUACAGACAACACGUGUGAAGUAUACGAUGAUGAAUGCAAUUUUGAAACUGAUCAGAUAAUUUGUGAUAUGACGGAAGGUGCUGGUUCAGAAGGUGAGAUAUUGCGGCCGGACUGGACAGGGGAUGAUGAAAGAGAAGGUGAAGAAGAUGAUGAGGCAGAGGAAGAGGGAGAGGAAGAAGACAGCCGUCCUCCAGUGGGUCAACUGCUAAGACCCAAACUCUUCUUGGUCUGAGCUGAUGGUGCCGCUCCACCACCCUCAACCGCCUCCCUCUUCAGAGGGUCGGCUUCUGUUGGCUCCAUCAUCUCCUCAGCAAUGCAUCACUGCUCAAACAGACCUAAACAUAGAGCAAAUGUGGUCUAGGGGUUAGAGAAAAGGACACAAACCUGCACUGCCCUUAUUUUUGACACAGUACCAAAGCUAUUCAGGGCUGCCUGUGGGACUCCAGCCAUCUCACUCCAAACCUUUUCAAGUUUUCCUUCAGAAAAUUUUUAACAGAACAAUAAUAUGCUUAACCCAUGACCUAACACGCACUGUUUAUAUCCUGUGGCAGAAUUCCAGUAUUUCAUUCUAGCUAUUCACCCUGACUCCAUAUGGCUCUGGAUUCAAUCUGUAAACAAUGAACUACUAUAUUUGACUAAAUUACUCAUCCAUGUCAAUAUAGCGAGUUAAUUUCGUGAGACGAUCCAUUGAACGCCUAUGCAUUGGUCAAGCUACCAAAACUCCUAGCUAGCUAGCUACCUGCAAAAAAUUAACGUUGGCAUAGCUAAUCUAGCCAUAGUAUGUUAGCUACGUAACGUUACUGGCUACAACAUGUAUUCAUUGGUAUUCUCUCAGACAGUACUAGCUAGCUAGUAGUGUCAGCUGUCACCAUUCCUAUUCCAGCU